rnacentral:lncRNA from 1 species
UUUAUUAUCAGCAGCAUUGGGAAUACAGUUGUUUUGAUGUGUUUUCUGAUGCCCUGUUCUAAAAUUCACUACUUCUCUGCAGGCUUUGGAAAGUGGGAGUGUAACCACUGGUCCUUUGGGUUCUUUGUGAAGUUGUGCUAACCAUAGGGUCUGGAUCACCUCUAUUAUUUUACAUUGGGCAUCUAUCAUCCAGGACCUAUGUGCUGCAGGAACGUAAUUAAGAAUGACUUUGACAAGAUAAAUAUUUGGGGACUGUAGCCUACUCUUGUGCCAAUCUCCAAGUUUUGGCCAAUCAAAGGUGGCCAACCAUUCAAACCAUGUUCAAGUAAGGCAAACAUCAAGCUGUAACCAACCCAACUAUUUUUGUACCUUGCAGAAUCACAGAAGACAUUUACCGAGUAUGUAUUUUCUGCCAAACCCUGUGCCAGGUGUUAUUAGAACAUUACUUAUGAAAUAUUUGGUAGUGUGGAUGAAGAGGCAGCUUUUCCUGCUUACACAAUACAGAAAUAUGAUUUCAAAAAUCUAUUAAAAUUUUAUUAAUCUCAGAAGGCAUGAUUUCUAAUUGUGUUUGAUCUUACACUUGUUAUGAUUUAGGAAUUCACAUCUGAGUUGGUUGCAUGAUGCUAUAGUUGGCAACAUGAUUCUGACCGCCACCAUCACAAAUAGAGGUUAGAAAAUAUUACUUAUGUGAAAAUAAAUGCCAUUUCUGGCACCUAAA